rnacentral:rRNA from 1 species
GACGAACGCUGGCGGCGUGCUUAACACAUGCAAGUCGAACGGGCCUUGUCCCCUUUUUUUUUGGGGGUGGGGUUAGUGGCGAACGGGUGAGUAACACGUGAGUAACCUGCCCCUCACUUCUGGAUAACCGCUUGAAAGGGUGGCUAAUACGGGGUGUUCUGUCCUGCUCGCAUGGGUGGGUUUGGAAAGAUUCGACCGGUUUUGGUUGUUUUGGUGGGGGAUGGGCUCGCGGCCUAUCAGCUUGUUGGUGGGGUGAUGGCCUGCCAAGGCUUUGACGGGUAGCCGGCCUGAGAGGGUGGGCGGUCACACUGGGACUGAGACACGGCCCAGACUCCUACGGGAGGCAGCAGUGGGGAAUAUUGCACAAUGGGCGCAAGCCUGAUGCAGCGACGCCGCGUGAGGGAUGGAGGCCUUCGGGUUGGGAACCUCUUUCGCCAGUGAAGAAGGUCCUGCUCUUUGUGGUGGGGUUGACGGUAGCUGGGUUAAUGAAGCGCCGGCUAACUACGUG